rnacentral:rRNA from 1 species
UAAUACGAAGGUGGCAAGCGUUGUUCGGAUUCACUGGGCGUACAGGGUGUGUAGGCGGUUUGGUAAGCCUUCUGUUAAAGCUUCGGGCCCAACCCGGAAAGCGCAGAGGGUACUGCCAGGCUAGAGGACGGGAGAGGAGCGCGGAAUUCCCGGUGUAGCGGUGAAAUGCGUAGAGAUCGGGAGGAAGGCCGGUGGCGAAGGCGGCGCUCUGGAACGUUACUGACGCUGAGACACGAAAGCGUGGGGAGCAAACAGGAUUAGAUACCCUGGUAGUCCACGCCCUAAACUAUGGAUACUAAGUGUCGGCGGGUUACCGCCGGUGCCGCAGCUAACGCAUUAAGUAUCCCGCCUGGGAAGUACGGCCGCAAGGUUGAAACUCAAAUGAAUUG